rnacentral:lncRNA from 1 species
CCUAAAUACUCAAAGUCCUUCUCUUUUGUCUUAGGCUUAAUAUUUGAAUUUGUUUUAUUGGACUUACAUUCAUCCACACAUUCAUUCAUACUUGUAGUUAACACACACUUCUCAAGAGCCUACCUAAUGCUUGGCACUCAUCUAGGUCUUGUGAAGCAGUGUUGGAAAAAAAGUAGAUGUUUUUUUCUCUUGAGCGAAUUUAUUGAGAAGGGAGGCAGAAAAUCAGAGAAGCAAAGAGACAAUGAGACCAUAACAUAUCAGGCAGAUGAAAAUAGAAUCCAGUCACGUGUUCAUGAGUUGAGGGUUAUUCUAGUUUGGAAGCCAUCGAAGUCGUCCAUGAAGAGGUGGUAUUUAAUUUGAGCCUGAACAGCAAUCACGGAUGAGAGAAUCACAGGUCCUGAUGACUAGUAGAAGCACGCCGUGUCUCUACAUGGUACGUGGCUCACACAUUCAGGUUUCUAAUGCUGGGCAGUCACUGUGCUGCCCUGUGUGCUCCUCAGCUCCUCUUUCUGAUGGAAGAACAGGAUGAGAUCUGAACUUUGAUCCUAACAAGAUCAAAAUCCUGCUCCACAAUUUUCAGAAAUAAGCAUGGCAGUUUCCCCAGAAGCCUUUCUUCAGUCUUCAUUCCCAUCAUCGGGUAUAAAUCAUGCACACGCCUAAUGACUGAAUCCACAGCAUAAAAGCAAAUAAUUUUGCAACAGAAAUAAAUCCUAUUUGUCCUUGCAUAACCCUAGGACCCUCUUCACAUCUCUUCUCUGUUAAAAACUCUGUAUCUGAUCUCCUGUUCGUUGGUGUGUAGUUAAUUCUCGUUUUUAUGAAACUCAGCCAUGUGCCCUCACUGUCCCAGUCCAGGACUGUUGCUGAAUCUUGCAAGCUUGGUGUGGUGUAUGACGAGCUGCAAGGGGACUGAUUUUGAACCAAGUCCUCAGUACUCCUUUCUGAGACCUUUCUUCAGGCUGAGGCUUCUUUUUUGGCUUCCUCUCAGGACUUGGCCCCCUUACUUAAAGUUCCAAAUUAGAGUGUCCUGGUGCCUGGGGCCGGGUUUGUGGCCAUUGGGAAAGUCUAGAGAUUAGGAAGAGAUGUGACCUUUGCAUGAAAGAAUGUUAAAAUGGUAUAAAUUUAAGAUGUCUUUGUUACAUCAUUUUUGUAUUGUUCCAUACAGAAAGUACAACAAAAUAGUAGCUUACUUAAAUUUAAAGCUAUGGUGUGAAUACAAUUCACAAAUGUAUUUGAUUGGAGAAUUUUGCAGCUUAUAAACUUUACAUGUAUGACAAGUCCUUCUAAUGAUAAGAUCAGAAAGAAAAAGACUAAAAUUUUUGAAUAUCAAAUCAUGAAAGAGGAAAUUCAGGUCCUCAAUAAAGACAUGCAACAUGUUCAUAUUUACUGUAAUCUGGGAAAUGCAAAUAAGCAUGAGAAGUAUUGCUUCUGACUUAUCAGGUUGGCAAAGUUAAACUGAGGUACAUUUACUGAUGGCAAGAUGGCUAGAAAGCUGUGCUCCUAUCCUUUUCUUCUUUUGAUAUUAAUUUUUUGAGCUCUUUGGGAAAGCAAUUUGGUAUUGAUAAAAAUACACAGGAAGUUCCCCGGUGGCCUGUCGAGUUAGGGAUUCUUCAUUGCCACGGCUGUGGCUGAAGUCACUGCUGUGGCAUGAGUUUGAUCCUAGGCCUGAGAAUGAGAACUUUCACAUGCCUUGGGCACAGUCAUAAAGAAAAAAAAAGAUAUACAGAUAUGAUUUACUCGAAACCUCUGGCAACCUACUGCAUUGUUAUAACAAAAUUCUGAUAAACAAGGGUACAUUUAAAAAGCAUAUAAAUGGCUUCAGGAUUGGUGUCAGCUACAAACUAGAAGUGACCUCACUUUCCAUCAACAGAGAAUGCUAGAGUCAAUUACAAUAUAAAGAAGCCACUUCAUGUGUGCACUGAGGUAUACAGUGUCACUGGCCAAUGGGGACCUGCUGUAUAACACAGAGAACUCUACCCAAUAAUCUGUGAUAGGAGUUCCCGUCAAGGCGCAGUGGUUAACGAAUCUGACUAGGAACCAUGAGGUUGCAGGUUUGAUCCCUGACCUUGCUCAGUGCGUUAAGAAUCUGGCAUUGCCAUGAGCUGUGGUGUAAGUCACAGACACGGCUCAGAUCUCGCGUUGCUGUGGCUCUGGCAUAGGCGGGAGGCUGCAGCUCUGAUGCCCUCUAGCCUGGGAACCUCCAUAUGCUCUGGGAGCGGCCCUAGAAAAGGCAAAAAGACCAAAAAAAAAAAAAAAAAUCUGUGAUAAUCCAUGUGGCAAAAGAAUCUGAUAUGUGUGAACAUGUAUAAGUGAAUCAUUUUGUUGUACAGCAGAAAAAAACCACAACACUGUAAAUUAAUCAUAUGUCAAGAAAAAUUUUAAAAAUGAACCAAAAGAAGCCACUCAAAGGAAUGAUAUCUCCAGUGGCUGACUUCGAUUUCUAAGAAAUAAUGUCAAGUGCCCAAGGUAAAAAGAAAGGUCCAGGGUAUAAUGCUGAUUAUAAACCAUAUUGUAAGAAACAUACAUACAUACAUUUGUAUAUAUAUAUAUUUGCGUAUGAUAUUGGGAAAACUGAGAAAUUCUUUUAAAUUUGUUUUAAGGUAGUGGUAAUAGUGAUAGUGUGGAAUGCCAGGCAAGGAGGAGCAUGAGUUCAUAUGUGCAUAGAAGUGUUCAGGAAAUACACAGUGACCCAAGUAGUAAUUUCAUUUAUCUCAUUGUGUUAGGUGAUAUGGGGAAUUCUACUUU